CAUGGCUCAGAUUGAACGCUGGCGGCAUGCCUUACACAUGCAAGUCGAACGGCAGCACGGAGCUUGCUCUGGUGGCGAGUGGCGAACGGGUGAGUAAUAUAUCGGAACGUACCCUAGAGUGGGGGAUAACGUAGCGAAAGUUACGCUAAUACCGCAUACGAUCUAAGGAUGAAAGUGGGGGAUCGCAAGACCUCAUGCUCGUGGAGCGGCCGAUAUCUGAUUAGCUAGUUGGUAGGGUAAAAGCCUACCAAGGCAUCGAUCAGUAGCUGGUCUGAGAGGACGACCAGCCACACUGGAACUGAGACACGGUCCAGACUCCUACGG
rnacentral:rRNA from 1 species